rnacentral:rRNA from 1 species
GAUGAACGCUGGCGGCGUGCCUAAUACAUGCAAGUCGAGCGAACAGACGAGGAGCUUGCUCCUCUGACGUUAGCGGCGGACGGGUGAGUAACACGUGGAUAACCUACCUAUAAGACUGGGAUAACUUCGGGAAACCGGAGCUAAUACCGGAUAAUAUAUUGAACCGCAUGGUUCAAUAGUGAAAGACGGUUUUGCUGUCACUUAUAGAUGGAUCCGCGCCGCAUUAGCUAGUUGGUAAGGUAACGGCUUACCAAGGCAACGAUGCGUAGCCGACCUGAGAGGGUGAUCGGCCACACUGGAACUGAGACACGGUCCAGACUCCUACGGGAGGCAGCAGUAGGGAAUCUUCCGCAAUGGGCGAAAGCCUAACGGAGCAACGCCGCGUGAGUGAUGAAGGUCUUCGGAUCGUAAAACUCUGUUAUUAGGGAAGAACAAAUGUGUAAGUAACUAUGCACGUCUUGACGGUACCUAAUCAGAAAGCCACGGCUAACUACG